rnacentral:rRNA from 1 species
AUGCACGCUGGCGGCGUGCCUAAUACCUGCAAGUCGAGCGAACGGACGAGAAGCUUGCUUCUCUGAUGUUAGCGGCGGACGGGUGAGUAACACGUGGAUAACCUACCUAUAAGACUGGGAUAACUUCGGGAAACCGGAGCUAAUACCGGAUAAUAUUUUGAACCGCAUGGUUCAAAAGUGAAAGACGGUCUUGCUGUCACUUAUAGAUGGAUCCGCGCUGCAUUAGCUAGUUGGUAAGGUAACGGCUUACCAAGGCAACGAUGCAUAGCCGACCUGAGAGGGUGAUCGGCCACACUGGAACUUAGACACGGUCCAGACUCCUACGGGAGGCAGCAGUAGGGAAUCUUCCGCAAUGGGCGAAAGCCUGACGGAGCAACGCCGCGUGAGUGAUGAAGGUCUUCGGAUCGUAAAACUCUGUUAUUAGGGAAGAACAUAUGUGUAAGUAACUGUGCACAUCUUGACGGUACCUAAUCAGAAAGCCACGGCUAACUACGUG